GGUCCCGCCUGCCCAGUGACUCUUUAAACGGCCGCGGUAUCCUAACCGUGCAAAGGUAGCAUAAUCACUUGUCCCCUAAAUCGGGACUGGAAUGAACGGCUAAAUGAGGACUAAACUGUCUCUUACACACUGGCCAAUGAAAUUGAUUUCCCAGUACAAAAGCUGGGAUUUACCCAUAAGACGAGAAGACCCUGUGGAGCUUCAAAACCAAACCAUUUAGUAUGUCCCUUGGUUUUUUAGUUGGGGCGACUUCGGAAUACAACAAAACUUCCAAAAUAAAAUUAAAUCAUUAAGGUUAACACACCAAAAUCUCCACACAGACCCAGCAAUUAAUUUGUCUGAUCAAUGAACCAAGUUACCCCAGGGAUAACAGCGCAAUCUCCUUUUAGAGUUCCUAUCGACAAGGGG
rnacentral:rRNA from 1 species